rnacentral:rRNA from 1 species
UGCCCAGAAUCGUUUACCGUGAAAAAAUUAGAGUGUUCAGCUAAGCAGCAGCAGAUCCAAUUUUCUGCCACCGAAUACAUUAGCAUGGGAUAAUGGAAUAGGACCCUGUCCUCCUAUUUUCAGUUGGUUUUGGCAGCGCGAGGACUAGGGUAAUGAUUAAUAGGGAUAGUUGGGGGCAUUAAUAUUUAAUUGUCAGAGGUGAAAUUCUUGGAUUUAUGAAAGAUUAACUUCUGCGAAAGCAUCUGCCAAGGAUGUUUUCAUUAAUCAAGAACGAAAGUUAGGGGAUCGAAGACGAUCAGAUACCGUCGUAGUUUUAACCAUAAACGAUGCCGACCAGCGAUUAGGAGACGUUGAAUACAAAACACCACCAUCGGCGCGGUCGUCCUUGGCGUCUGUGUCCCUUUCAACGGGGGCAUGGCGCGAGGGCGGUUUAGCCCGGUGGCACCGGUGAAUGACUCCCUAGCAGCUUUGUGAGAA